rnacentral:tRNA from 1 species
CCUUUGAUAGCUCAGUUGGUAGUGCAGCGGCCUGUAGAUUCUUAGGUUGCUAGGUCGAAUCUGGCUCGAAGGA